rnacentral:rRNA from 1 species
GACGUAGGGCGCGAGCGUUGUCCGGAUUUAUUGGGCGUAAAGAGCUCGUAGGCGGCUUGUCGCGUCGACCGUGAAAACUUGGGGCUCAACCCCCAAGCCUGCGGUCGAUACGGGCAGGCUCGAGUUCGGUAGGGGAGACUGGAAUUCCUGGUGUAGCGGUGAAAUGCGCAGAUAUCAGGAGGAACACCGAUGGCGAAGGCAGGUCUCUGGGCCGAUACUGACGCUGAGGCACGAAAGCGUGGGGAGCAAACAGG